rnacentral:rRNA from 1 species
UACGGGGGGGGCAAGCGUUGUUCGGAAUUACUGGGCGUAAAGGGCUCGUAGGCGGCCAACUAAGUCAGACGUGAAAUCCCUCGGCUUAACCGGGGAACUGCGUCUGAUACUGGUUGGCUUGAAUCCGGGAGAGGGAUGUGGAAUUCCAGGUGUAGCGGUGAAAUGCGUAGAUAUCUGGAGGAACACCGGUGGCGAAGGCGGCAUCCUGGACUCAUACUGACACUGAGGUGCGAAAGCGUGGGGAGCAAACAGG